UUCAUUAUACUGUAAUACCGUAAACCGUAAUUAUAAUUAAUUAUUUAUACUUUUUGCCUUAUCAAAUUGCAAAAUACAUAAUAGGUAGACCAAUAGAAUUUAUAUGAACAAAUACUAUUUGAUUUCGGGGAAGGUAUAUUGCAAGGUGUAGUCAAGUUUGCUGAUUUUACAAUUGAAAAUAAUUUUAGAAAUACAGGCUAGAAUGCAAAAGGCUGUAGAUAAUACAAAGCCUUCCUUAAGAAUACAAAGAUUUUAUAGGGAAAAACAAGUGUGCGUUGAAAAAAAUCAUUUAUAAAGACGAAAGAUUUACAAAUUAUAACAUGAUACAUCAGGAAAAUUACUUCCGAAUAAAUUGACUAUACAUAAUUUGACUGAUGAUUGGCUAAAAGCUAUUCAGGUGAUUAGGAAAACUACCCACUUAAAUGCAGAAAACAAUUGUGAUAUAAAUAAAUCAAUGUCGGAUUGUUUUCAAGAAAGAGAAGAACUUUGAUUGCGUUAUCAAGUAGCUGUAAUUAGAAAUGCUAUAAACGAACUUGGAUGUAAAAAAUUACCUUCUGGAUAUGACCUUUCAAUGGAGGAUUCAUUUACUGAGCCAACAAAAACAAAAUCAAAAUUUACAAGAGGACAACACAUUUCUAACAUUUCUAAUAGUUUCUUUGGCUUCAACCCAUAAACUUCUGUCUGAUAAACAAGCAUAAUGCCAUUGCUGAAUCAAAUCGUCUAAAGUAAUAAGAAUAGACAUCUGUGAAAAUAACAAAUUUCUUAACGAUGCCCUUAGUGACCUCAGAGGAGCGUUGAUUAUGUUUAACUGAGCUGGCCACAUACUGCGAUAUAAAUCACAUCGCGAUAAACUCCAUCGAUUUGUAAAUGUAUUGUUGGUUAUUGGGUUGUCGUCUUCUAUUGUUCCAAGAAAUCUGCACUUGUAACCUCCAAUCACUGUCUUUUGUUGAAUGAUUUUCUGCAACACUUCUUUAUGGCUAAUCUCAUUAUCCAAUGUAAUUAUACCUUCGCUUUCAUUGGAAAACCAAAAAAUGAAUCUCGAAUAAUUAUUAUUGCCCAUAUGAAUUUCAAUAUUUCUAAACGCCACUGGUACAAAACGACGAAAAUCGUUUUGUAUAAUAUAUUCAAUCGUGAAUUUCAUCUUCUCGUUCAAUCUUUCUUCAUGGAAUGGUUUGGAUUCCAUUAUAUUUUUUAUUACUACCGUAUUAUUCAUUAUUAUAAUAACUUUGAUCACCAGUUGAAAAUUUAUUCUUACAGCGACUGUAACUGUAGAAUUGUAGGAAAUGUAGACGCAAAGAAUACUAACGACAUGCUUGAACAAAGAAAAACAGAAAUGUAUAUGUACCAAUCUUGGCCACAUAUGGGGCGAAAACUGACACGUAUAUAACGUAAGCGGUAAAAUAGUGGAUACGUGUUAUAUUUUCUAAUUUUUAUUGAUCAGUUUUUAUUUUAAAAAGUGAAUAACAAUUUUUUUAUUGUAAAACUUAUUUCAAUUUCGAAAUAAAAGAAAUUAUUUCUCUAGUACAUUUGUAUUUUGAUGAUUCAGAAAUAUUAUUAAAUCCUAUUUUGAUUAAAUUCAUGAAUCUUCUAAUUUCUUGAUUCUCAUUACUCGUGUUCUUAUCAAGAUUUGCAAGAUCAUUUACCAAUUUUUUCAUGGACUUCGUAGCUGUAUCAAUGGCAUCGUCUAAUGUUUCAAUGUCAUCAUCUGAUUUUCUUUUCCGACUAAAUUUCCUCUUGUCGAAUUUGUUUUCACCACUACUUGAUGAUAAUUUCAUCAAGGAGUCCAUGUUAUCAGAACAAAUUUGAGGCAUAUGGCUUAAAUACGGUUGUAACCAAAGCAUUUCCUUGUACAAUUCCCACGUAACUUCCACUUUCAUAUAAACAGGCAGCAGAACUGAAGCAAUAAUGUAACAUGUUUCACGAAUAAUUUUGUAAAAAGUAGAUUUUCCAACCCUAUAAUGUAUAGAGUGAAGAUGAGCGUUUCCUCCUUGUCCU